rnacentral:pre_miRNA from 1 species
UCUGAUGGAUAAGCAAAGAAAGUGGUUUCUUGAGAUAGAAUCUACUCUGAGAGAAGAUGCUGUGAA